UACGGGGGGGGGCAAGCGUUGUUCGGAAUUACUGGGCGUAAAGGGCUCGUAGGCGGCCAACUAAGUCCGACGUGAAAUCCCCAGCUUAACCUGGGAACUGCGUCGGAUACUGGAUGGCUUGAAUUCGGGAGAGGGAUGCAGAAUUCCAGGUGUAGCGGUGAAAUGCGUAGAUAUCUGGAGGAAUACCGGUGGCGAAGGCGGCAUCCUGGACCGACAUUGACGCUGAUGAGCGAAAGCUAGGGGAGCAAACGGG
rnacentral:rRNA from 1 species